CAAACCUCAGUCUGGAGCAGGAAGAGCCAUUCACACACAGAGUCUACACAGGCUGCGGAGUCCCUGGGGCCGGGACAAGGCAUCUGGUGGAAUCUCCCACCCAGCAGUGCUCCUGGAUCUGGGGCCUCCCCCACCAACCUGAAGAUCUCCACAGCCCUUUCCCAGAGACCCUGCAGACCCUCAGUGAUAUCGGCAGCUGAUGGAAGAGAAGAUUGCACAGCCUGGCACCAUUCACAAGCAUGAAGGAGGUACUGAGAUGCAGAGCUCUGCCUAUAAGGCCACCAACCACCGCAGAGAUGAACACAUCCAUGAGCAGCAGGACCAUAGGGCACCCGCUGCAGAGAUGGGCGUAUCCACAGGUGGCAGGACAGUGGGCACCCACUACUGAAAUGGAUGCGUACACAGAUGGCAGGACCACAGGAACCACUGUGGAGAUGGACAUGUUCAUGGCGGCAGGAUGGUGGAGUACCCGCUAUGGAAACGAUAAGUCCACAGGUAGCAGGACUGUGUAUCACCUGCCAGAUUAAAUAAACUCUCACUCCUCCUGC